GACGAACGCUGGCGGCGUGCUUAACACAUGCAAGUCGAACGGAACGUUCCUGCUUUUUUGGGGUGCUGUAGUUGCGACCGGGGGAGUAACACGUGAGUACCCUGCCAUUGACUUUGGUAUCACCUCAUGAAACUGGGGCUCAUCGCGCCUAAGAUUUCUCGCUGCGUGGUGGGCGUUGGAAAGUUUCGGUGGUUGGUGAUGUACUGGCGUCGUAUCAGCUUGUUGGUUGGGUAGUGGAUUACCAAGGCUUGGCGGGGUAGCCGGCCUGAGAGGAGGACCGGCCACAUCAGGACUGGGAUAAGGCCCAGCCUCCAACGGGAGGCAGCGGUGGAGAGUAUUGCACAAGGGGCGGAAGCCUGAUGCAGCAACGCCGCGUGCGGGAUGAGGGCAUUCGGGUAGUAAACCGCUUUCGUCUGACACGAAGCGUUAGUGACGGUAAUGGGUAAAGAAGCACCGGCUAACUCCGUG
rnacentral:rRNA from 1 species